rnacentral:sRNA from 1 species
GCUGGGCAUGGUGGCGCAUGCCUGUAAUUACAGCAGCUCAGGAGGCUGAAGCAGGAGGCUCACAAAUUCGAGGGCGGCCUCGGCAAUUUAGCAAGAUCCUAAGUAAUUUAGUGAGACCCUGUCUCAA